GUCCCGCAGACAGUGCGGUGCGACGGUACGAAGCACGCGCGAGAG
rfam:Trypanosoma cruzi strain CL Brener tcruzi_1047053464543, whole genome shotgun sequence.